GACGAACGCUGGCGGCGUGCCUAAUACAUGCAAGUAGAACGCUGAAGGAGGAGCUUGCUUCUCUGGAUGAGUUGCGAACGGGUGAGUAACGCGUAGGUAACCUGCCUGGUAGCGGGGGAUAACUAUUGGAAACGAUAGCUAAUACCGCAUAAUAGUAGAUGUUGCAUGACAUUUGCUUAAAAGGUGCAAUUGCAUCACUACCAGAUGGACCUGCGUUGUAUUAGCUAGUUGGUGGGGUAACGGCUCACCAAGGCGACGAUACAUAUCCGACCUGAGAGGGUGAUCGGCCACACUGGGACUGAGACACGGCCCAGACUCCUACGGGAGGCAGCAGUAGGGAAUCUUCGGCAAUGGACGGAAGUCUGACUGAGCAACGCCGCGUGAGUGAAGAAGGGUGUCGGAUCGUAAAGCUCUGUUGUAAGAGAAGAACGAGUGUGAGAGUGGAAAGUUCACACUGUGACGGUAUCUUACCAGAAAGGGACGGCUAACUACGUG
rnacentral:rRNA from 1 species